rnacentral:rRNA from 1 species
GGGAUUGCCUCAGUAACGGCGAGUGAAGCGGCAAGAGCUCAAAUUUGAAAGCUGGCCCCCUCGGGGUCCGCGUUGUAAUUUGCAGAGGAUGCUUCGGGUGCAGCCCCCGUCUAAGUGCCCUGGAACGGGCCGUCAUAGAGGGUGAGAAUCCCGUCUGGGACGGGGUGUCUGCGUCCGUGUGAAGCUCCUUCGACGAGUCGAGUUGUUUGGGAAUGCAGCUCUAAAUGGGUGGUAAAUUUCAUCUAAAGCUAAAUACUGGCCGGAGACCGAUAGCGCACAAGUAGAGUGAUCGAAAGAUGAAAAGCACUUUGAAAAGAGAGUUAAACAGCACGUGAAAUUGUUGAAAGGGAAGCGUUUGCGACCAGACUCGCCCGCGGGGUUCAGCCGGCAUUCGUGCCGGUGUACUUCCCCGUGGGCGGGCCAGCGUCGGUUUGGGCGGCCGGUCAAAGGCCCUCGGAAUGUAUCACCUCUCGGGGUGUCUUAUAGCCGAGGGUGCAAUGCGGCCUGCCCGGACCGAGGAACGCGCUUCGGCUCGGACGCUGGCGUAAUGGUCGUAAAUGACCCGUCUUGAAACACGGACCAAGGAGUCUAACAUCUACGCGAGUGUUCGGGUGUCAAACCCGUACGCGCAGUGAAAGCGAACGGAGGUGGGAGCCCCCUCGCGGGGCGCACCAUCGACCGAUCCUGAUGUCUUCGGAUGGAUUUGAGUACGAGCGUAGCUGUGGGGACCCGAAAGAUGGUGAACUAUGCCUGAA